rnacentral:rRNA from 1 species
GCUGAAAAGCUAGCUCUACCCCAAAAAUUAAACGAACACCAUUAAUAAACUUUUCACAACCUCAACCAAAUUAAUUAAAACAUUCUACCCUGCCUUAGUACGGGCGACGGAAAAGGCACUCAGAAGCAAUAGAUUUAAGUACCGCAAGGGAAAGCUGAAAGAAAAAUGAAAUAGUUAUUUAAGCCUAAAAAAGCAGAGACCAAACCUCGUACCUUUUGCAUCAUGAUUUAGCUAGCAAACACCUGAGCAAAGAGAACUUUAGUUCAAUACCCCGAAACCAAGUGAGCUACCCCGAGACAGCCUAUACCUUUAGGGCAAACCCGUCUCUGUGGCAAAAGAGUGGGAAGAUCUCCGGAUAGCAGUGACAGACCUACCGAACUUGGUGAUAGCUGGUUGCCUAAGAAAUGGAUAUAAGUUCAGCCUCGUGCUCCUUGACUCAAACAUGUACAACUUCCCCACGACAUCAAGAAAAACACGAGAGUUAGUCAAAGGGGGAACAGCCCCUUUGACCCAGGACACAACCUUAUAAAGGAGGUUAAAGACUAUAAUUUACAAGACUACCGCUUCAGUGGGCCUAAAAGCAGCCAUCUGUGAAGAAAGCGUUAAAGCUCAAACAGCCUGUAAAUCCAUUAUACCAGUAAUUCUUCUUAAACCCCUAAUUUCUACUAGGCCAUCCCAUGCCCACAUGGGAGUGAUUCUGCUAAAAUGAGUAACAAGAAUACACUUCUCCUUUACCUAAGUGUAAGCUAGAGCGGACCCACCACUAGCAAUUAACGAACCCAACCCAAGAGGGAACCAUGAAACCAUCAACUAAACCAAGAAAAACCCACUCACCUAAAAUCGUUAACCCCACACUGGAAGGUAAUUUAAGGAAAGACUAAAAAAAAGAGAAGGAACUCGGCAAAUACAAGCCUCGCCUGUUUACCAAAAACAUCGCCUCCUGCAAAACUUACGACGUAUAGGAGGUCCUGCCUGCCCAGUGACUAUGUUAAAUGGCCGCGGUAUCUUGACCGUGCUAAGGUAGCGCAAUCACUUGUCUUUUAAAUGGAGACCUGUAUGAAUGGCAAGACGAGGGCUUAACUGUCUCCUCUUUUUGGUCAGUGAAAUUGAUCUACCCGUGCAGAAGCGGGUAUAAGAAUACAAGACGAGAAGACCCUUUGGAGCUUAAGACCUAAGACCAAUCCCUGUUAAGUUAUUAACUUAAUAUUAAUAAAAACAAUUAAGAUACCUGGCCUACGUCUUCGGUUGGGGCGACCACGGGGGAAAACAAAGCCCCCAUGUGGAAUGGGGUUAUAGACCCUAGAUCCAAGAGAGACAUCUCUAAGCCACAGAACAUCUGACCUAAUUAGAUCCGGCCCCUUUGGCCGAUUAACGAACCAAGUUACCCUAGGGAUAACAGCGCAAUCCCCUUUAAGAGUCCAUAUCGACGAGGGGGUUUACGACCUCGAUGUUGGAUCAGGACAUCCUAAUGGUGCAGCCGCUAUUAAGGGUUCGUUUGUUCAACGAUUAAAGUCCUACGUGAUCUGAGUUCAGACCGGAGUAAUCCAGGUCAGUUUCUAUCUGUACUACUAUCUUUCCCAGUACGAAAGGACAGGAAAAAUGGGGCCAAUAUUUAAGACAUGCCCCACUCUUACUUAAUGAAGCCAACUUAAUUAAAUAAAAGAAGGUACCACUUUUUUCUAAGAUCAAGAAUACAUAAG